rnacentral:misc_RNA from 1 species
UUCCCAUCAUUCAUCCCUGGAUCCCCUCUAAACCUUAUCAAUCUAUUCUCAACAAAUCUCCCCGCUGCACGAAUAAUAAAAGGAUCAUUUAACCAACCAUCAAAAAAGGAAACAGGGGAAAUGCAUUUAUAAACACAAAAUUGUAUGUACUAUACAUUUUUGAGCAUCAAAGAAGAGAAGAGCUUUGUUAAGAACAAGAGUGAUGUUGUGGG